GUCUUCUCCGAGACCCGCGGCGCUGGGAGCUCCGCGUGCGAACUUGCCCGGGGCGAAAUCUGUUGCCCACCCUGGUCCCACCGUGCGAGCACACCUAGGCAGAGUGAGCUGUCCACAGGCGCAUACUUGAGCCCACUUGCCCAACUCCUAAGAUCUUAUCGGGAAGCUGCUGAUCAACAGUUCAAGUGUUUUCUAUUAGGAGACUGCCUUUCCCUGGUGCCGGCUGUGACCAACUAUUAUUUUAGAGAGACAAUUAACAACCACCUGACCAUCACCUGAUGGCUGCCUGACAUUCCUGAUGUGUGUGUGUAUGAGGGGGAGCCCUCUCCUGCCCUGCUCAUGCCUGACUAGCUACCUACUGUAACACCUUAACCAGAUUUUCUUUGUCAUGGCUUUUCUUCUCAAAUUUAUCUCUCUUUACCUAAAAAAAUGAAUAAAAGCAUCUUACUUUGGCCACUUCUUCAGACUUCACUCUCUUGUGAAGAUCCCCAUGUGCACAUAAAACUAAUAAAAUGUGUAUACUUUUCUCCUGGUAAUCUUCCUGGUGUCAGUGUGGUUUCUAGAUACAACUGGAGAGCUCAUUAAGAGGUAAAAGGGAGCUUGGAGGUGAUCUCUGGCUCCCCUAUAACAUCAUAAGAAAGAUCUAAGUAAGGGAUUGGACCACCUCUUCUCAUCCUCAAAACCACACCACUACCACCACCCAUUUGCUGCCUUAGGUUUUUAUUUAGCCCAAGAAAUGUCCUGAGAUGAUACAUAUAUAUUGCUUUUGUAAUUAGAAAAAGCAAUUUAAAAUUUUUUUCUUACUUCCAGUAAGUGAAUCCUUAUCAGAACUUUUUUUCUUUUAACCUCUAAGCUCCAUGGAAGAGAUCUUCUUGUCCUUGGCAAGGAAUAUAAAGAGAUACUUGUGUCCUUGACACAAGAAGCAGGAGAAAGGGAAUUUUAAAGCCUUGUCUGAGACCUGCCACCACCUAUCAUGGUGGUGAAACUAGAAUCUGAUACAAAACAUUAUGUCCAGCAUUAUGCAGCUUUCUAGUUCGGUAAGUAUCACAGACUGUGAAAUUCCAUAGAUCUGGAUUUCAAUAAUGACUGGUACUGCUUACCAGUGGAGUGACUUCAAGCUAAUUAUUUAAUUUCCAUCUACUCACUGGUAAACUGGGAAUAUUAAUGAUUAUCUUGCAGAGUUGUAAGGAUGUAUGUAAAGUGCUAAAUAUAGUGCCCAGCAUGUAUUUAAAGUGCCCAGCAUAUAGCAGUAAUAAAAAGAACUAUAUAUUUUUUUAAAAAAAUCAUGCCAGCUUCUUGAGCAUUUCCCAAGAGCCUGUUAUUAGCCAUAGACAAGAUGGCUGUUACUAGAAAGGCAUACUUCCAAAGGAUCUACAUAUCAGAAGACACAAAGAGUCAUUGCACGGGCCAGGGACAUCUCCCCAACGCUGGACAAUGCUGUGCAGCACCCUUCCCAGACUUCUGCACUCACGCAACACAAACACACACACUAUUUCUCUACAAAAGGGUCAAUAAAAUGGUGUCAUCCAGCGAUGCCUCAUGCCUAUAAUCCCAGUACUUUGGGAGACCAAGGCAGGUGGAUCACUUGAGCCCAGGAGUUCAAGACCAGCCUGGGCAACAUGGCA
rnacentral:lncRNA from 1 species